AGAGUUUGAUCAUGGCUCAGAUUGAACGCUGGCGGCAGGCCUAACACAUGCAAGUCGAGCGGUAGCACAGAGAGCUUGCUCUCGGGUGACGAGCGGCGGACGGGUGAGUAAUGUCUGGGAAACUGCCUGAUGGAGGGGGAUAACUACUGGAAACGGUAGCUAAUACCGCAUAACGUCGCAAGACCAAAGUGGGGGACCUUCGGGCCUCAUGCCAUCAGAUGUGCCCAGAUGGGAUUAGCUAGUAGGUGGGGUAACGGCUCACCUAGGCGACGAUCCCUAGCUGGUCUGAGAGGAUGACCAGCCACACUGGAACUGAGACACGGUCCAGACUCCUACGGGAGGCAGCAGUGGGGAAUAUUGCACAAUGGGCGCAAGCCUGAUGCAGCCAUGCCGCGUGUGUGAAGAAGGCCUUCGGGUUGUAAAGCACUUUCAGCGGGGAGGAAGGCGNNNNNNNNNNNNNNNNNNNNNNNNNNNNNNNNNNNNNNNNNNNNNNNNNCGAUUGACGUUACCCGCAGAAGAAGCACCGGCUAACUCCGUGCCAGCAGCCGCGGUAAUACGGAGGGUGCAAGCGUUAAUCGGAAUUACUGGGCGUAAAGCGCACGCAGGCGGUCUGUCAAGUCGGAUGUGAAAUCCCCGGGCUCAACCUGGGAACUGCAUUCGAAACUGGCAGGCUAGAGUCUUGUAGAGGGGGGUAGAAUUCCAGGUGUAGCGGUGAAAUGCGUAGAGAUCUGGAGGAAUACCGGUGGCGAAGGCGGCCCCCUGGACAAAGACUGACGCUCAGGUGCGAAAGCGUGGGGAGCAAACAGGAUUAGAUACCCUGGUAGUCCACGCCGUAAACGAUGUCGAUUUGGAGGUUGUGCCCUUGAGGCGUGGCUUCCGGAGCUAACGCGUUAAAUCGACCGCCUGGGGAGUACGGCCGCAAGGUUAAAACUCAAAUGAAUUGACGGGGGCCCGCACAAGCGGUGGAGCAUGUGGUUUAAUUCGAUGCAACGCGAAGAACCUUACCUGGUCUUGACAUCCACAGAACUUUCCAGAGAUGGAUUGGUGCCUUCGGGAACUGUGAGACAGGUGCUGCAUGGCUGUCGUCAGCUCGUGUUGUGAAAUGUUGGGUUAAGUCCCGCAACGAGCGCAACCCUUAUCCUUUGUUGCCAGCGGUCCGGCCGGGAACUCAAAGGAGACUGCCAGUGAUAAACUGGAGGAAGGUGGGGAUGACGUCAAGUCAUCAUGGCCCUUACGACCAGGGCUACACACGUGCUACAAUGGCAUAUACAAAGAGAAGCGACCUCGCGAGAGCAAGCGGACCUCAUAAAGUAUGUCGUAGUCCGGAUUGGAGUCUGCAACUCGACUCCAUGAAGUCGGAAUCGCUAGUAAUCGUAGAUCAGAAUGCUACGGUGAAUACGUUCCCGGGCCUUGUACACACCGCCCGUCACACCAUGGGAGUGGGUUGCAAAAGAAGUAGGUAGCUUAACCUUCGGGAGGGCGCUUACCACUUUGUGAUUCAUGACUGGGGUGAAGUCGUAACAAGGUAACCGUAGGGGAACCUGCGGUUGGAUCACCU
rnacentral:rRNA from 1 species